AAAAAGUUAAGAUCAGAAUUUGCUUCAAUUGAACACUGGAAGUACUUAACCUCAGACCUUAAAAUACAAGCACAGUAUCUCGGUUCAAAGACCUUUUCCUCUUUCAUUUCUGUCAGAUAAACAUGAAAACAUAUGAAGGUCACUGCCGGGUGAGAGAAGUCACUUGCGUUUCACACUCUCGAUCGUUGGUUCUGGGCAUUGCAUCGUUCACAGCAAAUGCUCUUCAAAGUUAAGUGAUGUGA